rnacentral:tRNA from 1 species
AAGAAGUUAGCUGAGAGGUUUAGCGUUGAUUUUACACAUCAAAUAGAGAGUUUCGAGUACUCUACUUCUUA